rnacentral:rRNA from 1 species
UGGGGGAUAUUGCACAAUGGGCGAAAGCCUGAUGCAGCGACGCCGCGUGGGGGAUGAAGGCCUUCGGGUUGUAAACUUCUUUUGCUCUGAACAAGGCAUGCUAAUGGGUGUGUUGAGUGUAGGGGUUGAUUAGCGCCGGCUAACUACGUGCCAGCAGCCGCGGUAAUACGUAGGGCGCGAGCGUUGUCCGGAAUUAUUGGGCGUAAAGGGCUUGUAGGUGGCUGGUUGCGUCUGUCGUGAAAGCUCAUGGCUUAACUGUGGGUUUGCGGUGGGUACGGGCUGGCUUGAGUGCAGUAGGGGAGGCUGGAAUUCCUGGUGUAGCGGUGGAAUGCGCAGAUAUCAGGAGGAAUACCGGUGGCGAAGGCGGGUCUCUGGGCUGUUACUGACACUGUGGAGCGAAAGCAUGGGGAGCGAACAGG